rnacentral:lncRNA from 1 species
GUCAUUUCCGUAUUUCCUCUUUUCUUUCCUCCUAUUUUCAUUUCCUCUAUUCCUUCAUCCUGAAAGAGAUAGCCAGGCGCUGUGCCCCUCUCGGUGCCAGUUGUCAACUUUCUCCCUCCCUAUUUCCUUCGUGUUCUUGUGUGUAUAUGUGUACAAACCAAAUAAUAAUAAUUGAUGCCCAGG